GAUGAGGUGUGAUUGGCUAUGUCUGGUGCAUCUAUACAUUUUCGGACGUUCGUUCAUUGCUGGGUGUGGGUAUGUGAACGGUCGGGAGGCAUGAAUCAACACUUAUCCUAGACCAAGGCUACGGUUGUUGGUCUUGCGCCUCGUGCUCCUGGUCAAAGAGCACGCUCUUGUACUUCAACUUUAGCGUAGAGUUCCGUGAAGGUUUUAUGGAAGAUUGAGCUUAUGACUACAUGAUCACUUUACUACUUAUGCAAUUGUAUUGGUGCUUGAUAUAGAAAGUAGACGCCAUGUCUUUUGCUUAUUUACUCGUAUUUUUAUGGUCUAAUGUUAAAAUUUGACAAGCCUC
rnacentral:lncRNA from 1 species